rnacentral:rRNA from 1 species
GUCCACGCCGUAAACGAUGAAUACUAGGUGUCGGGUGGCAAAGCCAUUCGGUGCCGCAGCAAACGCAAUAAGUAUUCCACCUGGGGAGUACGUUCGCAAGAAUGAAACUCAAAGGAAUUGACGGGGACCCCGCACAAGCGGUGGAGCAUGUGGUUUAAUUCGAAGCAACGCGAAGAACCUUACCAAGUCUUGACAUCCCUCUGACCGGCCCGUAACGGGGCCUUCCCUUCGGGGCAGAGGAGACAGGUGGUGCAUGGUUGUCGU